rnacentral:rRNA from 1 species
CUACGGGCGGCUCCAGUGAGGAAUAUUGGACAAUGGAGGAAACUCUGAUCCAGCCAUGCCGCGUGAAUGAAGAAGGCCUUAGGGUUGUAAAGUUCUUUCAAUGGUGAAGAUAAUGACGGUAGCCAUAGAAGAAGCUCCGGCUAAAUUCGUGCCAGCAGCCGCGGUAAUACGAAUGGAGCAAGCGUUGUUCGGAAUCACUGGGCUUAAAGCGUGCGCAGGCGGAAAUGAAAGUCAGAAGUGAAAGCCCAGGGCUCAACCCUGGAACUGCUUUUGAAACUCCAUUUCUAGAAUCCGAUAGAGGUAAGGAGAAUUCCUAGUGUAGAGGUGAAAUUCGCAGAUAUUAGGAGGAAUACCAGUGGCGUAGGCGCCUUACUGGGUCGGUAUUGACGCUCAUGUACGAAAGCGUGGGGAGCAAACAGGAUUAGAUACCCGCGUAGUC